AUUGAACGCUGGCGGCAGGCCUACACCUUCCAAUCGGACGAGCGGCGGACGGGUUAGUACUGUAUGGGGACUGCCCGAUAGAGGGGGAUGACUACUGGCAACGGUAGCUAAUACCGCCUACUAUCGGAUAACCCAUGUGGGAUUAGCUAGUAGGUGGGGUAAUGGCUCACCUAGGCGACGAUCCCUAGCUGGUCUGAGAGGAUGAUCAGCCACACUGGGACUGAGACACGGCCCAGACUCCUACGGAGGCAGCAGUGGGGAAUAUUGCACAAUGGGCGCAAGCCUGAUGCAGCCAUGCCGCGUGUAUGAAGAAGGCCCUAGGGUUGUAAAGUACUUUAAGUCGGGAGGCGUUACCGACAGAAGAAGCACCGGCUAACUCCGUGCCAGCAGCCGCGGUAAUAC
rnacentral:rRNA from 1 species